AUUGAACGCUGGCGGAAUGCUUUACACAUGCAAGUCGAACGGCAGCACGGGGGCAACCCUGGUGGCGAGUGGCGAACGGGUGAGUAAUACAUCGGAACGUGCCCAGUCGUGGGGGAUAACGUAGCGAAAGCUACGCUAAUACCGCAUACGAUCUACGGAUGAAAGCGGGGGAUCGCAAGACCUCGCGCGAUUGGAGCGGCCGAUGGCAGAUUAGGUAGUUGGUGGGGUAAAGGCUCACCAAGCCUUCGAUCUGUAGCUGGUCUGAGAGGACGACCAGCCACACUGGGACUGAGACACGGCCCAGACUCCUACGGGAGGCAGCAGUGGGGAAUUUUGGACAAUGGGCGAAAGCCUGAUCCAGCCAUUCCGCGUGCAGGAUGAAGGCCCUCGGGUUGUAAACUGCUUUUGUACGGAACGAAACGGCCUUUUCUAAUACAGAGGGCUAAUGACGGUACCGUAAGAAUAAGCACCGGCUAACUACGUGCCAGCAGCCGCGGU
rnacentral:rRNA from 1 species